rfam:Microbacterium hydrocarbonoxydans strain SA35 RS84_contig000010, whole genome shotgun sequence.
GUUCUGACCACGGCUGUGAUGCCCCGCCGCUCCCGCCCCGACACACUUCCCCGGUGCCGGGUCGAGAAGCGGAGGGGGAUCAGAGCCGAAGGUCUACCCGAG